GUCAUGAGAAAUCGAGUCCGCCCGAGAAAUCGAGUCCGCUUAGGACCCCGAGUGAUCCCAUUGGCUCAACGAAUAAUUAUUGGGUAUUAUUUUUUAGCGCCUGAUUACAAUUCCUGCUAAAUAGCGUUUUUAUUUUUGUCGUUUGAACUUUGCUAUAAUGACCAUUUAUGUACUUUAAAUUACAUGUUUCAUAGGCUAGUAUAUAGCCGACGCGCUUUAGGUUGUGAAAUCAAACAUUUCUCGUUUUUUUUUUUUUUUUUUUUUUUUUUGUUACUCGCGUAUCAGCAUAGCAUACAGCUACUCGAUGUGUGUGUGUGUAAAUUUAUAUUGUUAAUCUUAAUGAUAUAAUAUCGCAAUUGCUUGUGCAGAACCGUGUUAUUGUUGUAUUAUAUACAGAUAUAUUAUUAUUUUAUGUAAAAUGAAUGUUAUAUUAAUUUUACAUGAAGUAUGUCAGUAUGCCUAUUAUAUUUAUACCAUUAAGUAUAGUAAGUGAAUAAUGGUUGUUUGUGCACUGAAAGUAACUAAAAAUACAGCUAGAUAGUUUAUAUAGAUAGCAAUAAUUGCUAUAUAAUUAUAAUUUGCAAUUAUAAUAUAAUGAUUCUACUGUUUUUUUUUUUACAUAUAAAUGUUCAAGCAAUAUGCACACUAUCUAUGUAAGACAUUUAUACAUUUUUCAAAAUGAAUAACAUUUUCAAAGAAUCUUUACAGAAAGACAUACUGUUGUGUCUAUGUGGUCAAAAACACCCUCACUGUUUUAAUAGUUGGUGUUAAAUGCAUUAGUCGUCAUACAUACAGCAAGCAAGCCAAAGGCAACGGUGGUUAAUUAAGAAAAAACUGUAAGAUGUCGAUACUGGAGUAAAAAAAAACCUUUGGAGAAACCAGACUAACCAAAAACACUGGGGACCAGUUCUCCUCUGUAUAUUCAGUCUGAACAUUUGGUACAAUAUCAUUGGUAGUUAACAGUGUUACUGCAUUGAUUCAGCUGUAAGGUUAGAGGUUAAAUGUGCCAUGUACAGGCAGCAACAUUGUUUUCUCUGUGGCCCAGGUGAGGCAAGCAGUGGCAGUGAAGAGUGCUAAGGUGCAGUCAUCCAUUCAUAAAUUCUUGCUGUUUUGCUGAAACUGGAAACAGUUCAUCCUAUGUGAAGUCCAUUGUGGAAGAUUGGGGAAUCCUCAGUCUCAACGUAACUCGAGAGCGUCUGGGACAGAGCUUCUGUGGUAAAGAAAAAUAUAAAAAUUGUUUAGGAACUGUAAUAUAAUUUUAAAAAAAAUGUCCUCUCUGCCUUUGUAAUAUACAGUAUGCUGGAAGACUUUCUUGACAUCAUACAGAACGGGUUCAGAAUACAACAGAAGCAGGAAACAUCAAAAAUCACUGUUAACCGUAGAGCAUCGGUUUACAAUUCUUGCAAAAAUCAAGUUAUGAUUUAUGUGUAUGUUGUUAUAAAAACAAUCAAACAGACAUAAAUGUAAUCUGUUAAACUCAGUCUAUUUUGCAUUCAAAGAUUGCUUUAAAUAAAGAGACAGGUGAUUUAUUUGAGCAGAGCUUGUUUUCUGCCUCCACUAUUUGGAAAGUCUAAUACGAAAAUACUUAUAUAUAUAUACUAUUUUAUAUUAAACAAAAAAACUGCUGCAAUGAAAAUCUCCUUUUGAUUUAUUGUGCCUUAAUUUACUAUUAAUUUCAUUCAUAAUUAUUCACUUACUGAACGCUAUUAUAAAAGUAUAUACGUUUGUUUAUGUUAAAUAAAAGAUAAACAUGAGAAAAGAGUCGUAUCUUCCCUUAAAAUGCAUCUUGAACAAUCGGGUCCCACCUAGCGAGGACCCCUAAGAUGGCGGCCAUCGCGAUGCCUGUGCGCAAGUCGGAACGGAGGCACUUGUCACGAAGGACACAAGACAGAAGCUCUGUCCCAGAUGCUCUCGAGUUACGUUGAGACUGAGGAUUCCCCAAUCUUCCACAAUGGACUUCACAUAGGAUGAACUGUUUCCAGUUUCAGCAAAACAGCAAGAAUUUAUGAAUGGAUGACUGCACCUUAGCACUCUUCACUGCCACUGCUUGCCUCACCUGGGCCACAGAGAAAACAAUGUUGCUGCCUGUACAUGGCACAUUUAACCUCUAACCUUACAGCUGAAUCAAUGCAGUAACACUGUUAACUACCAAUGAUAUUGUACCAAAUGUUCAGACUGAAUAUACAGAGGAGAACUGGUCCCCAGUGUUUUUGGUUAGUCUGGUUUCUCCAAAGGUUUUUUUUACUCCAGUAUCGACAUCUUACAGUUUUUUCUUAAUUAACCACCGUUGCCUUUGGCUUGCUUGCUGUAUGUAUGACGACUAAUGCAUUUAACACCAACUAUUAAAACAGUGAGGGUGUUUUUGACCACAUAGACACAACAGUAUGUCUUUCUGUAAAGAUUCUUUGAAAAUGUUAUUCAUUUUGAAAAAUGUAUAAAUGUCUUACAUAGAUAGUGUGCAUAUUGCUUGAACAUUUAUAUGUAAAAAAAUUGUGUAGAAUUAUAUUAUAAUUGCAAGUUAUAAUUAACAAUUAUAAACUAGCUGCAUUUUUAGUUACUUUCAGUGCACAAACAGCCAUUAUUGCCUUACUAUUACUGAUUUGUAAUAGUACAAGUAACUGUUGUACUAUUAUAUGUACUGUGUUAUAUGAGUUAAAGUCAAUUACAAUUGUAAUUUCGUCAUCAUAAUGUGAUAAUUGCUGUAUGAUUUUCUUUGAAAACAAUAGUUUCUUAAAUAAUAUACAAUCAGCAAUUGCAAUACAUGAACUGCUUGUAAGCAAAACCAUAUAUAACAACAUAAGUAUACUUAUUACAAUAUUGAAAAUAAUGUAAAAAAUUACAUGAAUUAGGUAGUAAGUCAAAAUAAAUAAAAAUCAAAGUGUG